rnacentral:rRNA from 1 species
GAUGAACGCUGGCGGCGUGCUUAACACAUGCAAGUCGAACGGAAAGGCCAGUGCUUGCACUGGUACUCGAGUGGCGAACGGGUGAGUAACACGUGGGUGAUCUGCCCUGUACUUCGGGAUAAGCUUGGGAAACUGGGUCUAAUACCGGAUAGGACAACUUUUUGGAUAUUGUUGUGGAAAGCUUUUGCGGUAUGGGAUGAGCUCGCGGCCUAUCAGCUUGUUGGUGGGGUAAUGGCCUACCAAGGCGUCGACGGGUAGCCGGCCUGAGAGGGUGUACGGCCACAUUGGGACUGAGAUACGGCGCAGACUCCUACGGGAGGCAGCAGUGGGGAAUAUUGCACAAUGGGCGCAAGCCUGAUGCAGCGACGCCGCGUGGGGGAUGAAGGCCUUCGGGUUGUAAACUCCUUUCGCUAGGGACGAAGCGCAAGUGACGGUACCUGGAGAAGAAGCACCGGCUAACUACGUG